rnacentral:rRNA from 1 species
UCGAACGCGAAAGGGGGGGCAACCCCCCGAGUAGAGUGGCGAACGGGUGAGUAAUACAUCGGAACGUGUCCAGUAGCGGGGGAUAACCUCUCGAAAGAGAGGCUAAUACCGCAUACGACCUACGGGUGAAAGAGGGGGAUCGCAAGACCUCUCACUAUUGGAGCGGCCGAUGUCGGAUUAGCUAGUUGGCGGGGUAAAAGCCCACCAAGGCGACGAUCCGUAGCUGGUCUGAGAGGACGGCCAGCCACACUGGAACUGAGACACGGUCCAGACUCCUACGGGAGGCAGCAGUGGGGAAUUUUGGACAAUGGGCGCAAGCCUGAUCCAGCCAUGCCGCGUGAGUGAAGAAGGCCUUCGGGUUGUAAAGCUCUUUCGGCUGGGACGAAAAGGUCCGUGUUAACACCACGGAUCCAUGACGGUACCAGCAGAAGAAGCACCGGCUAACUACGUGCCAGCAGCCGCGGUAAUACGUAGGGUGCAGGCGUUA